UCCCGGGUCGUCUAACGGUAGGACACUGCCCUUUGGAGGCAGGUAUCUUGGUUCGAAUCCAAGCCCGGGAGC
rnacentral:tRNA from 15 species